CCCCUAGUAACUGCGAGUGAAGCGGGAAGAGCUCAAAUUUAAAAUCUGGUAGUCUUCUGGCUGUCCGAGUUGUAAUCUGGAGAAGUGUUUUCUGUGUUAGACCGUGUACAAGUCUCCUGGAACGGAGCGUCAUAGAGGGUGAGAAUCCCGUCCAUGACACGGACUACUAAUACUUUGUGAUACGCUCUCAAAGAGUCGAGUUGUUUGGGAAUGCAGCUCAAAAUGGGUGGUAAAUUCCAUCUAAAGCUAAAUACAGGCGAGAGACCGAUAGCGAACAAGUACCGUGAGGGAAAGAUGAAAAGCACUUUGGAAAGAGAGUUAAACAGUACGUGAAAUUGUUGAAAGGGAAACGCUUGAAGUCAGUCGCGUUGUGCAGAACUCAGCCUUGCCUUGGCUUGGUGUACUUUCUGCACAACGGGUCAACAUCAAUUUUGGCCCAUGGAGAAAGGUAGGAGGAAUGUAGCGCUGUUUCGGCAGCGUGUUAUAGCCCUCUAUUGUAUACAUGGGCUGGGAUUGAGGAUUGCAGCACGCCCUUGUGGCCGGGGGUUCGCGCCCUACGUACCGUGCUUAGGAUGUUGGCAGAAUGGCUUUAAGCGACCCGUCUUGAAACACGGACCAAGGAGUCUAACAUGCUUGCGAGUGUUCGGGUGGAAAACCCUUGUGCGUAAUGAAAGUGAAAGUUGGGAACCUCCGCAAGGGGGUGCACCGACGCCCGGCCCUGACGUUCUCUGACGGUGCUGCGGUAAAGCAAGUAUGCUAGGACCCGAAAGAUGGUGAACUAUGCCUGAAUAGGGCGAAGCCAGAGGAAACUCUGGUGGAGGCUCGUAGCGAUUCUGACGUGCAAAUCGAUCGUCAAAUUUGGG
rnacentral:rRNA from 1 species